rnacentral:tmRNA from 1 species
GGGGAUGAAAGGAUUUCGACGGGGAUUUUGAAGUAUCAUAAGCGGGUAGUGGUUGCACAUUCACUUAAAACCGUGCGCUUUAAAUAAUAAAGGACAAUAAUAAAGUUCUCAAAGCUGCCUAAUUAAAGGCAGCCGUUUCACCCGAAAGUACCGCGGUUCGGGCUGAAGCGUCAUUUAGCGGUAAAUGUGAACGGAUUGCCGGCCCGCAGUCCGUCAUAAAUGAGGGCCUACCGGUCAUUUAAGCCUGUUUUUCGGCGUCUGUGUCCGGGAAAUUUAAUAGAAAAACUACACCCGUAGAAAGUGGUAUGGAGAGAUUUUCGGACGCGGUUUCGAUUACCGCCAUCUCCACCA